GAUGAACGCUGGCGGCGUGCCUAAUACAUGCAAGUCGAGCGAACGGACGAGAAGCUUGCUUCUUUAAUGUUAGCGGCGGACGGGUGAGUAACACGUGGAUAACCUACCUAUAAGACUGGGAUAACUUCGGGAAACCGUAGCUAAUACCGGAUAAUAUUUUGAACCGCAUGGUUCAAAAGUGAAAGACGGUCUUGCUGUCACUUAUAGAUGGAUCCGCGCUGCAUUAGCUAGUUGGUAAGGUAACGGCUUACCAAGGCAACGAUGCAUAGCCGACCUGAGAGGGUGAUCGGCCACACUGGAACUGAGACACGGUCCAGACUCCUACGGGAGGCAGCAGUAGGGAAUCUUCCGCAAUGGGCGAAAGCCUGACGGAGCAACGCCGCGUGAGUGAUGAAGGUCUUCGGAUCGUAAAACUCUGUUAUUAGGGAAGAACAUAUGUGUAAGUAACUGUGCACAUCUUGACGGUACCUAAUCAGAAAGCCACGGCUAACUACGUG
rnacentral:rRNA from 1 species